AUGCCUACGGGAGGCAGCAGUGGGGGAUAUUGCACAAUGGGGGGAACCCUGAUCCAGCUAUUCCGCGUGUGGGAUGAAGGCCCUCGGGUUGUAAACCACUUUUGUAGAGAACGAAAAGACACCUUCGAAUAAAGGGUGUUGCUGACGGUACUCUAAGAAUAAGCACCGGCUAACUACGUGCCAGCAGCCGCGGUAAUACGUAGGGUGCGAGCGUUAAUCGGAAUUACUGGGCGUAAAGGGUGCGCAGGCGGUUGAGUAAGACAGAAGUGAAAUCCCCGAGCUUAACUCGGGAAUGGCAUA
rnacentral:rRNA from 1 species